GACGAGGGAUCCUAGCGUUGUUCGGAAUCAUUGGGCGUAAAGCGGGUGUAGGCGGGCUUAUAAGUCAGGUGUGAAAUCCCCGGGCUCAACCUGGGAACUGCAUUUGUGACUGCACAGCUGGAGUGCGGCAGAGGGGGAUGGAAUUCCGCGUGUAGCAGUGAAAUGCGUAGAUAUGCGGAGGAACACCGAUGGCGAAGGCAAUCCCCUGGGCCUGCACUGACGCUCAUGCACGAAAGCGUGGGGAGCAAACAGG
rnacentral:rRNA from 1 species